rnacentral:rRNA from 1 species
UAGUCGCACGGGUUUAGACCCGUGGCAGAUAGCUCAGUAACACGUGGCCAAUCUGCCCUGNUGAACUGAAAUAAUCUCGGGAAACUGAGGCUAAUGCCAGAUACGGCUCCUCGNCUUGGAAUGGUGUGAGCCCGAAACGCUUCGGCGUCACAGGAUGUGGCUGCGGCCGAUUAGGUAGACGGUGGGGUAACGGCCCACCGUGCCGAUAAUCGGUACGGGUUGUGAGAGCAAGAACCCGGAGACGGAAUCUGAGACAAGAUUCCGGGCCCUACGGGGCGCAGCAGGCGCGAAACCUUUACACUGCACGGAAGUGCGAUAAGGGAACCCCAAGUGCGAGGGCAUACAGUCCUCGCUUUUCUGGACCGUAAGGAGGUCGAGGAACAAGAGCUGGGCAAGACCGGUGCCAGCCGCCGCGGUAAUACCGGCAGCCCGAGUGAUGGCCGAUCUUAUUGGGCCUAAAGCGUCCGUAGCUGGCCGCACAAGUCCAUCGGAAAAUCCACCCGCCCAACGGGUGGGCGUCCGGUGGAAACUGUGUGGCUUGGGACCGGAAGGCGCGACGGGUACGUCCGGGGUAGGAGUGAAAUCCCGUAAUCCUGGACGGACCGCCGAUGGCGAAAGCACGUCGCGAGGACGGAUCCGACAGUGAGGGA